rnacentral:rRNA from 1 species
UACGAAGGGGGCUAGCGUUGUUCGGAGUUACUGGGCGUAAAGCGCGUGUAGGCGGGCCGUUAAGUCGGGGGUGAAAGCCCAGAGCUCAACUCUGGAAUUGCCUUCGAUACUGGCGGCCUGGAGCAUGAUAGAGGCGAGUGGAAUUGCGAGUGUAGAGGUGAAAUUCGUAGAUAUUCGCGGGAACACCAGUGGCGAAGGCGGCUCGCUGGAUCAUUGCUGACGCUGAGACGCGAAAGCGUGGGGAGCAAACAGG